rnacentral:rRNA from 1 species
CUUGAUGGUAGUGUAUUGGACUACCAUGGCAAUGACGGGUAACGAGGAAUUAGGGUUCGAUUUCGGAGAGGGAGCCUGAGAAACGGCUACCACAUCUAAGGAAGGCAGCAGGCGCGCAAAUUACCCAAUGCCAACACUUUGGCGAGGUAGUGACAAGAAAUAACAAAGGGGGUAAAACUCUCUAUUGGAAUGAGUGCAAUUUAAAAUCCUCAACGAGGAGCAACUGGAGGGCAAGUCUGGUGCCAGCAGCCGCGGUAAUACCAGCUCCAGUAGCGUAUAUUAAAGUUGUUGCAGUUGAAACGCUCGUAGUCGGACUUCUUCCUCUUUGUAGGAAUUCGCCGGUCGCCUCACUGACCUUCACGGGUUGGUGGGUCUACGACGGCAGGUCACCUUGAGAAAAUUAGAGUGUUCAAGGCAGGCAAUCCCUGAAUACUGUAGCAUGGAAUGGCGCGCUAAUGCAGGCACGAGUCGCUGGUGUUCGUGCGAGGCAAAGGUCGAUAGGGGCAGUCGUGGGCAUUGGUAUUGGGUAGUGAGAGGUGAAAUUCUUGGACCUACUCAAGACCAACAUGUGCGAAAGCAUCUUGCCAAGGAUGCCUUCAUUGAUCAAGAACGAAGGUCAGGGGAUCAAAGACGAUCUGAUACCGUC